CCGCACUAGACGGGGAGUUAGCGGUGCCCUGCACUCGCAAUCCGCUGUAGCGAGGUACAAUCCCCGUCCUGAGGCAGACUAUCUGUGAGGUUUGGUCUGAAUACGGAGCGUUGAUAGUCGGGUCCCGUGCAAUCGAAAGUCGUGAAUCAUGUCAGAUCUUGACGGAAGCAGCAUUAAGCGAAAUUUUCGAUGUGCCGCGGGGAAACCUGAAAGGAGCCACCGACGCAGAGCCCACUCGGAGGCAGCUGUCGAAGGAUGGGUGUGCGG
rnacentral:SRP_RNA from 1 species